UACGGGGGGAGCAAGCGUUGUUCGGAUUUACUGGGCGUAAAGGGCGCGUAGGCGGCCACCGCAAGUCGACUGUGAAAUCUCUGGGCUUAACCCAGAACGGUCAGCCGAUACUGCGGGGCUAGAGUGCAGAAGGGGCAACUGGAAUUCUCGGUGUAGCGGUGAAAUGCGUAGAUAUCGAGAGGAACACCUGCGGCGAAGGCGGGUUGCUGGGCUGACACUGACGCUGAGGCGCGAAAGCUAGGGGAGCGAACGGGAUUAGAAACCCCCGUAGUCC
rnacentral:rRNA from 1 species